UAUCACCCAUUAUAUUUACUUAAAUUAAUGUCACCAUGUUUUUUACAUUCCACUUGCGCCCGUGGCUUUUGCAGCUUCUCAUACAUAACAUGGUGUAGUCAUGAGGUGCUAGUUCAAAUUUAAAAAAAUUAUUCUAC